AACGUGGGGAGUCGAACGUUCAAUGCGUGAAACCACCACCUGCAAGGACACAAACGGCAUCAACAUUGACCUUGAUGUCUUCUCAGCAUCGUAUACCAAGGAAACAGUGCCCCACACUGGGCAUUCUUCAACACCACCGUGUUCACUCAGAGAUGCACUGGACUAAGAAACUCAGCCUCUGUGAGGCACUUCUCCUAUGUGGAAGGAGUUAUACAAGUACAGAUUCCCAUCAUCUCAUUUUCUGUAGAAACACACGAGAGAUCAGACUUUUGGUUCAAGAAAAAGCUGCUGGCAGAAAAGUAUGGAUUAUAAAACCAAUGACAUUGAAGUACAAAUAAGGUUUUAUUUAAGAAGUGAAGUCUUGAAUGAACGGUCUGUGAAAGAAAGAUGCCAUAUGAUGGAAUACCACUUUAAAAUAAAUCAUUAAAAUCACAAACAACAAGCAUAUAUUUGGAUCGAUGGGAUUUUACGGUUGCAUUAAUGUCGUAUUGAUUUAGA